rnacentral:rRNA from 1 species
UACGUAGGUGGCAAGCGUUGUCCGGAAUUAUAGGGCGUAAAGCGCGCGCAGGUGGUUCCUUAAGUCUGAUGUGAAAGCCCACGGCUCAACCGUGGAGGGUCAUUGGAAACUGGGGAACUUGAGUGCAGAAGAGGAAAGUGGAAUUCCAAGUGUAGCGGUGAAAUGCGUAGAGAUUUGGAGGAACACCAGUGGCGAAGGCGACUUUCUGGUCUGUAAAUGACACUGAGGAGCGAAAGCGUGGGGAGCAAACAGG